rnacentral:rRNA from 1 species
AGUGAACGCUGGCGGUAGGCCUAACACAUGCAAGUCGAACGGCAGCACAGUAAGAGCUUGCUCUUACGGGUGGCGAGUGGCGGACGGGUGAGGAAUACAUCGGAAUCUACUUUUUCUUGGGGGAUAACGUAGGGAAACUUACGCUAAUACCGCAUACGACCUACGGGUGAAAGCAGGGGAUCUUCGGACCUUGCGCGAUUGAAUGAGCCGAUGUCGGAUUAGCUAGUUGGCGGGGUAAAGGCCCACCAAGGCGACGAUCCGUAGCUGGUCUGAGAGGAUGAUCAGCCACACUGGAACUGAGACACGGUCCAGACUACUACGGGAGGCAGCAGUGGGGAAUAUUGGACAAUGGGCGCAAGCCUGAUCCAGCCAUACCGCGUGGGUGAAGAAGGCCUUCGGGUUGUAAAGCCCUUUUGUUGGGAAAGAAAAGCAGCAGGUUAAUACCUCGCUGUUCUGACGGUACCCAAAGAAUAAGCACCGGCUAACUUCGUG